rnacentral:rRNA from 1 species
UACGGAGGUGGCGAGCGUUGUCCGAAGUUACUGGGCGUAAAGCGCGCGUAGGCGGGCUCUUAAGUGAGAAGUGAAAGGCUGGGGCUCAACUCCAUGCAGUGCUUCUCAUACUGGGGGUCUUGAGGGCGGUAGAGAGAAGUGGAAUGGCUGGUGUAGCGGUGAAAUGCGUAGAUAUCGGGAGGAACACCAGUGGCGAAGGCGGCCCUCUGGGCCGGGCCUGACGCUGAGACGCGAGGGCGUGGGGAGCGAACGGG